ensembl:lncRNA
CCCGCCCCUUUUACAUGUAACAGGAAGUACAACACAAACAGGAAGUGACGGGUGUCUAAAAUAGAGGCUCAUGGGAAAUAAAAGGUGUUCUCUGUACAAGGCAGUCCUCAAACAGACACAGUGGGCGCUCUUCCUCUUACUGCACAAAUGAAAGGGUCAAAGGUCAAGUUUAGAGUUUCCUGAUCUGAAACUCUAAAGCUUCAUAAUCACGAGAGUCUAACAAGAUCAUCAUGAGGAGGAGAGGAAGGGAGGAGAAAGGAGAAGGGAGGAGAGUGAGGAGACGAGAGAGGAGGAAGGAGAAGAGGAGAGGGGAGGGGAGGAGAUGAGAGUGAGGAGACAAGGAGAAGACGAGAGAAAGGAGGUUGUUUGCAAAAGUGAUCUACAGUUUACAGAAAGAACAGUCCUGGAGACAGAAGCUGCCCCGGCCCCGACAGGUGCGCCCGGCCCCGACAGGUGCGCCCGGCCCCGACAGGUGCGCCGUUUGUGACUCUCAUCUUUUCAUCUUUGACGUGUCUCCAUGACAACAGCACAACAUCGUUUUGGACCAUCAGACGAUACAGAGACUGUCUCUGUCUCCCCCUCUCCUUCUCUCUCUCCCUCUCUCCUCCUCAGCGUGUGUACCUCCCCCUCUCCUCUCGUCUCUCUCCUCAGUGUCUGUACCUCCCCCUCUCCUCUCGUCUCUCUCCU